CAAUCGGCCCUUUUCAGGGCCACCAUAUUCAUUCAACGUAGACAAA
rfam:Trichomalopsis sarcophagae strain Alberta scaffold2947, whole genome shotgun sequence.